rnacentral:rRNA from 1 species
AUGGGGGACCUCACGACCGCAUACCUUGAAGGAGUGGAGGGCAAACUCAAGAACUUGCAGCUCUUCGAAGCGGAAACGAAGGGGAUCGGGAUUGGUAGGAAGCAAGCAUGCUCCUCAUAGGUGAGCAAGCUUCAAGCAGUAGGCAAGCUUAUUGUAGAGAGAACUAGGGUUGAACAUGUGGGAAGAACUCUUGGGGAGUCUGCAGCCCAUUGUGGGGUGGAUUGUGAAGAUUUGGGCAGGACUAGAUUUCUAUUUAUCUUCCAACAAAAGGUUGAUAAAGAAAAGGCAAUAGAUGUCGUGCCAUGGAGAUUUAGCAAUGACCUAUUGGUGAUGGAAGAUUUUGUGCUAAUUCGAACCAUAGAUGAAUAUGAAUUCAAGACCAUACAUAUCUAGGUUAGAGCUUACGGCAUCCCAAAUGGGUGA